CGCCCCCCUCCCGCCGCGUGGUUGCCACGGCAACGGAGAGAGCCGGCGACCUGGGUUCCGGAAGCCGGAGAGCUGGAGCCUGGAAGCUCCCACUGGUCAAAGGAUGCUGAGUCCGGAGCGCCUAGCCCUACCGGACUACGAGUAUCUGGCCCAGCGACAUGUCCUCACAUACAUGGAGGAUGCAGUGUGUCAGCUGCUAGAGAAUAAGGAAGAUAUUAGCCAAUAUGGCAUUGCCAGGUUCUUCACUGAAUAUUUUAACAGUGUAUGUCAGGGAACUCACAUUCUCUUUCGGGAAUUCAGCUUCAUCCAAGCCACCCCUCACAAUAGGGCAUCAUUCUUACGGGCCUUCUGGAGAUGCUUCCGAACUGUGGGCAAAAAUGGCGAUUUGCUGACCAUGAGAGAAUAUCACUGUCUGCUGCAAUUGCUGUGCCCAGAUUUCCCGCUGGAGCUUACUCAGAAAGCAGCCAGGAUUGUGCUCAUGGAUGACGCCAUGGAUUGCUUGAUGUCUUUUUCAGAUUUCCUUUUCGCCUUCCAGAUCCAAUUUUACUACUCAGAAUUCCUGGAGAGUGUGGCUGCCAUCUAUCAGGACCUGCUGGCAGGCAAGAAUCCCAAUACGGUGAUCGUGCCGACGUCCUCCAGUGGCCAGCACCGCCAGCGGCCUGCGUUGGGUGAGGCUAGCACGCUGGAGGGCGUGGAGGCGUCCCUGUUCUACCAGUGUCUGGAGAACUUGUGUGACCGGCACAAAUACAGCUGUCCACCCCCCGCACUUGUCAAAGAGGUACUAAGCAACGUUCAGAGACUGACCUUCUACGGAUUCCUUGUGGCUCUUUCAAAGCAUCAUGGGAUCAACCAAGCCCUAGGAGCUUUGCCUGACAAAGGGGACCUGAUGCACGACCCAGCCAUGGAUGAGGAGCUGGAACGGCUGGUGGUGAGGUCGAGGCUGCACCGGACCUCGCGGCAGCACAGGGCCGAGAAGCCAGGGGCCUUUGGCUUUCAGAGAAGAGACAAGCUGGAGGCCCCGGAGAGCAUGCCCUCAGCUUCAGCACCAGACACCCUGCCCAUAUCGGUGGGAGCCCAGGGAGUGAGGCCAGGGACCUGCA